rnacentral:rRNA from 1 species
UUUAACGGCCGCGGUAUUUUGACCGUGCAAAGGUAGCAUAAUCAUUAGUCUUUUAAUAGGAGGCUGGUAUGAAGGGUUUGACGAGGUGUUAGCUGUCUCAUUUAAUUUGAAAUUAAAAUUUAACUUUUCAGUCAAAAGGCUGAAAUUAUAUUGGAAGACGAGAAGACCCUAUAGAGCUUUAUAAUUAAAAUUAUGAUUGAUUUUUGUUUAUUACUAUCUUUGAUAAUUUUAAUUAUUUUGUUGGGGUGACAAGAAAAUAUAAUUAACUUUUUUAUUUAUUUAACAUUGAUUUAUGAAUUUUAGAUCCAAUUUUAUUGAUUAUUAGAUUAAGUUACCUUAGGGAUAACAGCGUAAUCUUCCUUCAGAGUUCACAUUUACGGGAAGGCUUGCGACCUCGAUGUUGGAUUAAGAUAAUAGUUAGGUGUAGCCGCUUAAUUUAUAGGUCUGUUCGACCUUUAAAUUCUUACAUGAUCUGA